GCGGGAGUGGCGGAAUCGGCAGACGCCCAGGACUUAAAAUCCUGUACUGUAAAAGGUGUGCGGGUUCAAGUCCCGCCUCCCGCACCA
rnacentral:tRNA from 4 species